AACUGUGGCCAAACGUCCUUGACAAAACCCUGAUCUCGUCUGAUCUCUGAAGCUAAACAGGGCUGGGUCUGGUCAGUACUCGGAUGAGACACCGCGGGAAAUAUCAGGCGGCACAGCGG
rnacentral:rRNA from 1 species